UUCGAGGGACAGCUCUACAGAGACUCCACAUUUAAAUCUUCAAAGAUGCCAGAGACUCAAACUUCAUCGUAAGCACAAGCUGGGAGUUUAUUCCAUGAAAGAAGUAUGCAAGGGGACAAAAGGUACUGGUGGCACGAAGAUUGUCCUAGUGAAAAAUCACGCUCCACAGAGCACGCUAGGCUGACACUAUUGCCUUUCCUUCAGAGAUGAGGAAUUUGAAGGCUCCACACCAUCCUACAGCCUUGAGUCUGGGACGGGAGAGAGAGACAUGCUGGGUUGUUGGGGAAGUGCUGGCAGUGCAGGAAGCGCUGGAGGUCUAGGAGCAGUGACUACAAUGGACCAGCAGAGGGCACCAGUACAACAAGUGAGAAAUCUCAGCCUGACGACAGAUGGGGCAGAACCCAAUGCAGCAAACACCUGCUCUAGAGAGAGAUGAGCUGGAUGCCGAUCUGUCUCCACAUUCCAUGAUGACCGCCCAAGCACUGCACGUGGGAGCAGGCUCUGUGGUCCAGUUGUCAUGGCUGCCACAUGCUAAGUGUGGUGUGUGCUCAGCCCAGGUGUCUUUAAUGUCUCUUGGGGUCAAGACAAGGCAUGGUCUUUCCUGAGAGUAUAGAGAAUCUGGAAGGCUAGGAACAGAAGAAGGUCUUGACUGUAGCCCUGUGCCUCUAGUAUAGGCACCAGGUCACAGCUGUAGACAAGACAGUAGGAGCCCAGUGUUCUAUGGUGAUCGGUGUUCCCAAGAAGGACACAAUGGAUAUGUGUGUGUCAGGAAGACAGUGGGAGAGACACACUUCUAAGUUGGUACACUGUGAGGCCCCUCAGCUCCCCCUACAGCACACCCACGCCUGCUUGGCCACAAGCUGUGACCAGGACUCCUCCGUAGGCUGUGCGUCUCCCCAUGCUCCAGGAUGCCCGCAGCCGAGCACAGGAUGUGUGGCAGCCUGUGAGAAGGUCAGCUUCCUCUAAUAUCAUGGGGACCUGCAAAUGCCCAAAAUGUCUACAACACUGCUCUUCCUCCUGCACCCCAUUCCCAGUGGUCUUCCCUCUAACAACAGCACAGAUCUUUCCGGACUCUGCCAGGCACGCCACUUCAGGCAGCGUUCCUGACCUCACCUUACCUCCCUGACUCCUCUCUGCCAAGGCCGUAUACACAUCACUGUGUGCCCAUCUCUCCCUGUGUGGAUCUGGACAAAGUGCUUCCAGAGCCCAGCCACCACUCAGGAGCGGCUCUCUGCUGGGUGUGGUGGAACCAGUGCAGAGGCAGAGGACAGCAAACGCACAGGCCUGAAGGGGCAGUGACAGUGGCCAUAGUGGGAAGUGAAGGGUGGUGAAGGAACCUUGCAGGGGAAGAACAGGCAAGGGACGUUGCAGGUGAGGCUGUACAGCAUUGCCAUGGCACCCAUUUGCCCACUCCCAGUCUAUUCCAUCAAUAAGUGGCGGCCAUAACUCCGACCUCACCAAGGGGAGGGGAAGCCAGCUGAGAGAGCAGCUGUGGACAUGUUUCAGGUUUCACCACACUGAUGGAAUUCACAUCCAUCAGUCAGGCACGGAAGGACAGUGUUCAGGUGUGAUGGCAGCCUCACCUCAUGAACGCCCAACCCUGCCCAACUCGGGAUCUGGAUCUGAAAGACCCCCAAGGGCACGAACCCCAUUGGCAUCAAGUGAGGAAAGGUCUAGGGAGGAAUCCCCAGCAUCCAGGGCCCCAGGGCAAGUGGCAGGAAGUGGAGAAUAGCUAUAAAUGUGAGGAGGUUUCGAGCCUCCAGGCCAGGGUGCUAAUGAUGCAGGGAGGCCAGCCAUCUGAAACCCCCUGGCAGCACCCAAGCAUAGCCAGCCUGCUCUCCACUGUAGGAAAAGAGAAACUGAGGCUGAGGAGGACUUCUCUGGAACAAGUCCCCACUCAGGGUGGAGGAGGGAGGGAGCUCCCGGGAAGAAGGGGGAAGGCCCUGGUGUAGGUGGACAAGAAACAGGGGCUCAGGCACAGAGCUUGGGCAGAGGGGAGAAGGAAGGUAGAGCAAUGAGAAAGCAGGGUCACUGGGGUCUCCAGCUGCCCAGGCCAGUCUGCACCACUCUAAGUGACACCUAUGGUGUGAGUGGGUGAUACAUCGUACAUCGUCACCACCAGAUUCAGCCCUGGGAUGCUGUUGCCAUCUGUCCCUAUGGGCCUGUGUCCCCCAUACCUCACAGAAACCCUGGUCAUCUAUGCCUGUCCACAGCUCAGUUUCUCCAAGACACCCAUCCCACAUAGGCUGUACAUCAGGCUGAGACCCAGGACAGUAGCCAUACAGAGCACUGCCUUUGUCUUGGCCAUGGCUGCCCCUGGCAUGUUCAUCAGGGAAAGAGUCGUUAGCAUCUCCCUAGUGCCCCCUCCAAUCUCCUAGGCUCUCCCCAGGAUCACUUUCACAGGGUUUCCCAACCUGAGUUUGUUGUGAGGAGAGCCACCUGGGCAGCCCCCACUCCCCCCCCCCCCCCCACCGCAUGCCUCGGUUUACAUCAAACACAUUGGGGCUGCCACCUGUCUGCCUCACAUUGCAGGCCCCAUAGCACCUGGCUCGCUGGGCAGCAAAGAUGGCAGGGCCCUGGUCUCAGGUAAAGGCCUCGUGUCCUUGAGGGUUGGGUGAUCAUUGCAGAGCCUCAGGGCACCCUGUCUCCCUGGAGCCCUCAUGUCUGCUACUGACCUGCCAGGUUGGGGACACACAAUCCUAUGGAGGAUGGCCUUAGCUUUAGUGUAGCAUGCCAUGCCCAGUGAGCACUUGAACCUGUUAUUUAAGGUGCCAACAGGUGCCUUCCCAGGAUAUUUUGUUGAGUUAAAACAAACAAACAACUAGAAUCAAUAUUAUUUCCUAACUAUAAACUUCUUUCUUGUCAUUUACACAUUGUCUGUAAACCCAAAAAAAAAAAAAAAAAAAAGUUAUAACAUGAAAAUGGGUAGAAAAUCCCACUUAAAUGGCAACUGCCACACUUUCCUAGUCACCUCUGCACACGUGGUGCACAGGCUCAUAAUCUUGCACCUACUGAGAGCGCACUUGGCUGCAACUGCAGUAGCUUAAAGGACGAGGUAGACUUUUCUCAUUAGGUGGAGUGCUUAAGACUGCUAACUAGUCCACUGGCUCAGCAGUCAGGGCCUUUCUGUGGUUCUUUUGGACUUUUCCUCGUAGCUGAAGUACAACAGCAGCUCCAUCCAUUGCUCCAUCCAGCAAAGAUGGUCAGUUCUACAUUUCUAAUGGGAAAUCCAAGGGUUUUUCCGGUAUGACCCCAGCUGGCUGUUCUUUAAGGCUCAUUCGUUAUAAUUUUUGAUCUUGUGGACAUCCCUAGCAGAAAAUAAAAUUGUCCUAAGUGCCUUUGAA